rnacentral:lncRNA from 1 species
AGAGUCAGUGAAGUUCUUAAUAUAACUUAUCUUAUGAAAUACCUUUUAAAAACUUAGAAACCAAGCCUCAGAGUGAUUAACCUAGUAAUGAUUAAUGUACAUAAAACUUAUUGUGGGCCAGGCUCCAUUCUAAGCAUACCACCUACAGUCAAUAACUUAUUUAUGUACAAAGACAAGUAGUUAUUAAUCAGCAAAGCCAAGAUUGGAUAUAGGGUUUGUCAGUACAAACAAUUAGCUCUGCAUAUUGUCAACCAUGCUGAUUAUCCCUUUAUAUGGGAGGGACAUUUAAUAAGAGAAGGAUAAUUUUCUUUUAAAAAAGUAAGAUAAAAAUAUUUAAAUUAGAAAUCAAAAAAAAUGUGUGUCCUUUAACUAUAUUUACCACUUAGGUACUGAGGGCCAUGCGAUAGUCAUCUGAUAUAUAAACAUAUAAAGGUAAACACAAUCUUAAAUAUAAAUAUAUAUGAGGAGAGUUUGGGGGGCAGAUUUCUAUAGGAACUGCGUAUUAUCUAAAUCUCCGUGAGUAUCCUAUAGAGCUUUGAAUGAAUACCAGUCAAAAAAUUUCCUGGCCACAGUCUGUGUACAAGAGAAUAAUCUCACCAAACUGGCUCCCAAUGAAUUGAUUAAAGUUCUUCAAAUACCUGUUAAUACUUUGUGUAAACCAUAUUGACUGAUAUCCAGAGCAGCCUGGAGACUCAGACCUAACAGGACAUCCUGGGGUUGGCUUGUCUGUGCAAAUAAGCUUACACUGUGGAAUGGAAUGCUUACCAACAUUAAGUUAUUUUUAUUCCUAAUCUCUUUAUUUCACUAAUGAUUUUGACGACAUUACAUAAAUUAAUUAGCUCUUAUGAAACAAUACAAACUUGCAGUGAAAGAUGCGUGCCAGAUAAAUGAUUAAUGUUUUAAUGGAGAUAGAGUGUUUGGGGAAAUCUUGAUCUAGUUUCUUAAAAUUCUGUAGAUAUUGAUAUGAGCAAUUGUAGAAAAAGUAGAAAAAUAUUAAAGAAACUCCGAGGAGUCUCUAUUUAAACUCCUAAAAAACAAACUUAGAAUUCAUAGCUAAUGCUUUUUCUUAGUAGUUUUUGUAACAAAGAGGAAGCAGAGCUCAAAUAAUCAAAGAAUGGCUGUGGCCUGCAUGUUGUACAUACAAAAAAAAAAAAUGGUUACUUUAAAAUACAUAUUCAUUUUAUUUAAUCUAUCUACGAUGAUAAAUACAUAACAUAUAUGUUCAAACUAAGCUUCAAUUAAAGCAAACUGCCUUCUAUUUUUUAUUAUAUAAAUGCAUUGCUUGUCAAGUUAUUGAUCAUUUUGUACAUAGAGUACAUAUACUGAAAACCUUUUAUCUUUAAAAAUUAAUUUGGUCUUUUAAUAAUUUCAUAUUAUUUAUAGGAAUUUAUAAAAUAAUGUUAAUUGUUCCAUAGUACAAAUACCAUCAUUAUUAUGAUGUCAGCUCAGUGAAACUGGAAACUUGAAUAGGUUGAAUUCAAUCACAUUUUACUUGUGAUAACACACACAUUCAGAGGCAACGAACACACAAGCAAAAGCACUGUAUCCAAUAAUGGGCUUUUAAAAUCUAUUACCCUAAAGAUUAUGAUAUCCUCCCAAACUAACAUAACCUUCUCAUGUGUGUUUUUUUUGUUCCAAAUUAUUAUUGCAUUACUUUGAAAGAAGUGAAGAAAAGGUUUGAAUUGGAAUUAAUGUAUCUAAAACCUUCAUUUUUGUAUGAACAUAGCAAUGAUAAUGUUACAGUAAUUUAAUUUGAAAAUCAAAUCCCCAAUAGAUUAUUUAAAUAUGUUAUCUAAGAAUAUAGAGACAUAAUUGCCUUCAGUGAUAUAAUAUGCAUAGAUUUCCAAUGCUGAAAGGAACAAUUUCUAUAAUUUUUAUAUGCAAAUGCUUUUGAAAAUUACUUCACCUGAUACACAGCAAGGUCUUGAAUGCAUCUUUAAUUAGAUGAUCUUUUGAAAAUUCUAUUUAAAUAAAGGCAGAUGAUUCAUGGGAUAAACCAUCAAAUUAAAUUGCUUUUUUAACAUCUUCUUUAAUACUGCUAAAGAAUUCCCAUUAUCUAGCUAGGGUUUUCAUACUUUUUUUCUUUCUUGUUGCUUCUUCUGGGAAGAAUCAGCCCAUGUAUUUAAGGGUUUAGGUUCACAUUUUCAACUCUCAGAUCUUUCUGUCAAAUACUUAUGGAGGGUCAACUAUGUGCAAGGCACUUUGGAAGCAGAUAUUAGCAUGGAUGAGAGACACAUGCUGUCACUAAGGAGUUUUUCUGUGUUAUUCUGCAUUUCUUGGACUUGUGUGAGACUGAGCCAAGUCAAAAGGCAACAGAAACAAUACACAGAUCUUUAGACACUGAUUCAGUGUUUCCUCACUUUGUAAUUAAUGACUAUCCUAUUUAUAGAUAAUCUAGAAAAUUCCUUUUCAUUGAUAAGAGACAGAGAUUAAUGAGAUCUUGCCAGUUUAGAAUGCAGCCAAUCAAUCAAUCAAUGGAUUUUGUAGCCCAUUAUAUUCAAUGCAGUUUAUUCUCUGGAUAAACUGUGUAGUUUUAUUUGAGUAAGGAUGGUUCAUAUUUUUCAGUACUUUGAAGUUAAAGAUGAAGCUUAUAUCCAUUCACUCUCUAAGGUUCUUUGUUUUCUAGGAGUUUGUUAUUUCAUGAUAUAUUUUUGAACAAGCUUACAUUUUUUUCAGGUCUUACUUUCAUCCAUGAGUUACUGCCAUAAAAUGGAAUUGCAUUGUCAUUUAUAAUUUCCCAUUUUGAUUAAUGGCAUUUCAAAAGCUCUGUAGCUUUCUAAAUGAACCCAGGGGCUACUACCCAUGAGAACUGCUAGACAGUACACAAUAUCAAAAUGAACUCCCCCAAACAGGAACAAAACAACAAGCAAUCAAUUCAAGAGAAGAUGAAGAAUUUAAAUGUAAUGUUUUGUUACAUUUAAAUGUAAUGUUUUGUAAAUUACAAAACAUGCAAAUAUAAUGCACAGCCAAAUAUAAUUCAAAAAAGAAAAUAGCUGCAAAAUUAACAUAUUAAAAUAAAAAUUACAAAUAUGUGCAUUAAAACUAUGCAUUGAUAUGACAAACUUGGAACCAUAGAUAAGACUUUCUCGUUAUUUUUAAUGCCUUCACUGCAGUGUAUUUUUAUAUUUGUAUGCAAGCUAUUUACAUGUUAGAAGAGCUGUGUUUAUUAAAUUCUCACAAAUUGUCACCUGGUUUUAUAGAAAAUAUUCUGAGGUAAAGUUUUGUUUAUCAUUCACUUUGGCAAAAAAAUAAAAAGCACUGAUAAGGAAGUGGAAUAAUUUAAUGAAUGAGUAUCCCUGUUAAUGAAAUGGCAUAAAAUACUUUACUCCCUUUAGACUUGACUUGAAAGACAGGUGUUCAAAGAAAAAAACUUGACUACAGCUCAUAGAGGGGCUGCAGCUCCCCAGGACCACAGAUAGAUGGGCCCUGACCUUUUCAUAAGGCAUUGCAAUUUAGAAAUCAUGCAGGCCCCUGAAAAAGCAGCUCAAUUGUACUCCAACAUCUAUAUUCUAAUUCUAUGUCUAGUCAUUCUAUCUACAUGGACUGAGCCUUAACGUAGAAAUGUACUGCAAAUGUCAGAAAUAUCUUAAAUUCAAAACAAUCCUACAUGCCCUAUAAAAUCUUUUAUAGUAAUUUUACCCCUUACAAGUAACUAUAUAUUUUAUUAAAUAUAUCACUGUGUAUUAAUUUCCUUUUCUCCAUUUUCCAGAUGAAUGUUGCCAAGCAAGGAUUCCAGCUUUUGGAGUUUUCAUAUUAUUUUUAAUUUAAAAAAAAAUUCAUGACUACACCUGCAGCAUAUAGAUGUCCCCAGGCUAGAGGUCAAAUUGGAGCUGCAGUUGCUGGCCUAUACCACAGCAACUAUUCAUUAGUACUUAGGAAGAAAUUUGCUGUUAAACAUCAAUUCGCAUUGCACAUUUACCUUGCCCUAAUGCAGGCAUUUAGUCACACAACUUUGAUCAGGGAAAUUACACUUUAAAAAAAAAAAACAAAAACAAACACAAACAAACAACUAUACAAUUUUUUUUUAGGGGGUGGUGGUGGGGAGGAGUCCUUAUUCCAAAAUGCUUAGCAGGACAUAUGUUGCCUGCUUCUGCCUCUCACCUUCUUCCUCAGAUUCGCUGUCUUCCAUAGGCCUCUUCCUGUUGCUGAAGUUCAGCUUUCUGGAUCCCUUUCUUUUAAUUUUUGUGAACAUGUCACACUGCCUGUGAGUUCUGGGACACAGACAUGAAGCACCUUUUCUUGGAACACUCUCUUCCAUGACCUUGCUUGGCUGCCUUCUAUUUAUCACACAGGUAUUUCAUUAAAAGUCACCUCCCAAGAGUUCCUCAGCUAUAUGCUCUCCAAGCACUGUAUUCUUUCCUGCUUCCCACAUCCCGGUGCUGCUAAGAGUUUGCAAUCUGUUUUCAUCUGGUAUAUAUUCCCCAUAAGAGCAUAUUUACUGCUUUAUUCCAAAGGAAGUAAAAUACCUGGCACACAGGCAUUUCAUUAAUAUCUAUGGCACUUGGUUAAAAGUAAAAAUAGUUGAUCAGAUACAAUACAUAUUAGUAUAAACACACACGCAUAACACUUUGGGGGUUUAGUUUUAUUUGUUUUAGUUUGAUUUCAUGAUGUUACUGCCCUAUCAUCUCUAUAUAGAGGGCCUAGUAGAAGUUAGUCUUGACUCAACAUCUACAUAGCUACAUCAGUAUUUCUCAAUAAAUUUUCCAUCAUCACAUGACUAAUGACUAAGUCUUUUUAGAUAUUAUUUUCCUUAUCAUCUCAUCCUGUAAACUUUUAGUACAGUAUUUCUUUUGUACUUUAGCUCUUUGGAGAGACAAUAUCCAUUAUAAUAUCUAUUUUUUUGCUGUCAACAAUGGUUUUUCAUCCCUUGGGUAAUAAUGCCCCUGUUGAUAGUGUAUAAUCUGUUUUUAUGCCUGUCUGCCUGUCUGUCUGUCUAUCCAUCUAUCUAUCUAUCUAUCUAUCUAUCUAUCUAUCUAUCUAUCUAUCAAUUUCUUUAUUAUCUAGAGGGAAAAUUGAGGAAGAAAAGGAGAAAAUGCGCAAUUGAGUACUCUUUGAUGAAUUGCUUCAGCUGUUCUUAGAGGAAUCUUUUCUGGUUUCCAGUUCAGUCUCAGAAUUUGGGUCUGCCCAGAGGCUUUGCACAAAAAGAGCACCCUCCUUUUUGAUUGUUGUGUUGGUCUCCUGGCUAUUGCAUAUUCUACUGAGUGUUAACAAAACAUUAAUUUGUAUGGAAAUCUUAAAGUCAGAAUGUAUUGCAAUUUUAGAUUUUCAUAUUUUAUAUUUACCAUAGUUAUAAUUUUAUUCAUGUCAGUUUCCAAAUGAAAUGUUUUAUGUGUUCCCAACUGGAAUUAAUUUUCUUUAUCUAAUUACUUUCAAAGCUGUAUCAGAUUUGAAGCUUUGAAAACUAUUGGUGGCAUUAAGAUCUGUUUGGUUUCCUCAGGCAGAUUGAAAAAUCACUUUCUACAGGGAGUUCCCAUCGUGGCUCAGCGGUAACAAACCUGACUAUUAUCCAUGAGGAUGUGUGUUUGAUCCCUGGCUUCCCUCAGUGGGUUGAGGAUCUGGCGUUUCCAUGAGCUGUGAUGUUGGCCAGAAGCAGUAGCUCUGAUUCCACCCCUAGCCUGGGAACUUCCACAUGCCGUGGGUGCAGCCCUAUAAAAAGACACACACACACAAAAUUACUCUCUACAGGCAAACAUUUCAGGCACAGAGAAAACUGUUGUCUUACAUGAGUAGCUGCAGAGAGAAUGGAAAUGCAGGCCUAUCUCUUGCUCUCCCUGGCUUUUGUUAGUCCACAUAGUGGUUAGAAAACAUGGAAGGAGUUUGCUGGGGA